rnacentral:rRNA from 1 species
UACGGAGGGUGCAAGCGUUAUCCGGAUUCACUGGGUUUAAAGGGUGCGUAGGUGGGCAGGUAAGUCAGUGGUGAAAUCUCCGAGCUUAACUCGGAAACUGCCAUUGAUACUAUCUGUCUUGAAUAUCCUGGAGGUGAGCGGAAUAUGUCAUGUAGCGGUGAAAUGCUUAGAUAUGACAUAGAACACCAAUUGCGAAGGCAGCUCACUACGGGAUUAUUGACGCUGAGGCACGAAAGCGUGGGGAUCAAACAGG